UAGGGAAUAUUAGUAAUGGGCGAAAGCCUGAACUAGCAACGCCGCGUGUGCGAAGAAGGCCUUCGGGUUGUAAAGCACUUUUUGAGAGGAUGAGGAAGGACGGUACUCUCAGAAUAAGUCUCGGCUAACUACGUGCCAGCAGCCGCGGUAACACGUAGGAGGCGAACGUUAUCCGGAUUUACUGGGCGUAAAGCGCGUGCAGGUGGUUUGGUAAGUAGGGCGUGAAAGCUCCUGGCUCAACUGGGAGAGGCCGUUCUAAACUGCCGAACUAGAGGAUGGUAGAGGGAGGUGGAAUUCCCGGUGUAGCGGUGGAAUGCGCAGAUAUCCGGAAGAACACCAGUGGCGAAAGCGGCCUCCUGGACCAUUCCUGACACUCAGACGCGAAAGCUAGGGUAGCAAACGG
rnacentral:rRNA from 1 species